ACAGAAAUUAAAUGAAAAAUUGAAAACUUAAACAGCUAAACCUAAUUCCCAAAUCACAAAACCACCCACGCAACCCAGCCACGCGACCUGACGCACCACGCAACCCAGCCACGCGACCUGACGCACCACGCAACCCAGCCAAACCAACCCACGACCACAAACCACACACACAUGCCACAACCUGACGCACACGACGACUCACGCCAUCGACAACAUAAACGGAACGAACCCAGCCGGAUCUUGAUCAACGUCCAGUUGCCAUUCACGACGAGCAGCUGACGGCGAAAGCAACCUCGCGAUAGCCGACUUGUUCAUUGUGUAAGGUUCCUGUCUUUAUUGCAUGAUUGUCUAAGGAAUUAAAUGUGCAGUCUGUGAUGAGCAAAUCAAGAAGACGAAGUGAAAGGCUGCUGCAGAGAGAUGAGCUCUCGACUUACCUAUAUUUGGAUGUGUAAUUAUCAUAUAACACCCUGAGCUUUUGAUAAUGAAGCUAAUGAAAGAAUUGUGUAAGGACUUGUGUUUCAUUAAUUCUAGAUUUCAUUAAUUUUUGGUAAAAAUUGUCAAAAAGGUUCCAAAUCCGAAUACAAUCCGAACCGAUCUGAAUCCGAA
rnacentral:lncRNA from 1 species